UCGAACCCCUAUUUUACCCCUUUGGUGGUCGAAUUUUCAAAAUUCCUUAGCGAAUGUGUACGUCAUAAUGUCUGCAUGCUAAACAGUCCGAUCCAUCCGGUAGUUUCAGCUGUGCCCUGAUAGAUCAGUCAGGCAGUCAGUCAGCUUUUCCUUGUAUA